UUUUUCUAAGUGAGGUUCGGGAGACUUCCUUCCAGGCCUAUAAAUAGGUGUGUGUAUUCUUUGUAUUUCUUAGAGUUGGUUAUCAAGAGGAAGAGUAGCAUCACCUAUUUGAAAUCGAAGGGGUGUGAAGGAAAAGACUUUUGAAAGUCAUAGGAAAUCUAUCCCCAAGAGCAUAAUCAAUUAUGCUUCAAACCAUAUCCCAAGGUUGUUUAAGCUGAUAGGAAAAAUUCAAAACAUUUAAGAAAUAAUUUUGAAAGCGCAUAAUCGAUUAUGCUUCAAGUCAUAUCCCAGGGUUGUCUAAGCUGAUAGGAAAACUUCCAAAACAGUUUAGAAAUAAUGUUGAAAGCUGGCCACCACAAGUUGUCAAAUAACUUAAGCAGUGGUGCAAGGAACUUCCUCCAUUGAAGAUUCCUAGUGAAUGUGAGGCAUGGACAUGGCGUAACUUGACAACAAAAAAUUAGGAAUUGUAGAAUAGUGUUUGAUGUGUUGUAAAGUAAGGAAUAAUGUUUGGUGUAAUGUAAAGUUGAGUGUGCAUAAAGUAAGAUUCCUUCCUAUUAUUGUAAGAAAAUGACAAAAGAGGAUGAUGUCUUUUGUCUCCUGAUUUUUCUAGGUGAGGUUUGGGAGACUUCAUUCCAGGCUUAUAAAUAGGUAUGUGUAUGCUUUGUAUUCCUCAGAGUUGGUUACCAAGAGUUGUAUACGACUUGGAUGAGAUAUCAAUAAAGAAUACUUGUUUAUGUAAAGCUUCCUUGGUUGAAUCUUUAUUCUAUAUUCUAAUUUGAGUCAUCCUAAAAAGUAGAGAUCCUUAGAGUAAAGCUUAGGUAGAGCUUAGAUCCUUAUUUGGUAUCAAAGCCAAACCUCUUGUAGGUGGCUCAAGCUUCUUGAUCUUUCAAAGUUUGUGUAUUUCUUGUUACUUUGAUUCUUAGUAUGCUCCACAGUUGCAGCAUAAGCCUGAUUUUAUUUAUAAUAACCGAAUCUCAAUAAAGUUCUUUCCAAGAGUCUCCUUAAACCUUUUAUUUACAAAGGGUUGGUGUUAUAAGUCCCGAUGAGUUGUUUCGAGUCUUUCUAUUCGUGGUCGCAUUGGUGUAAAUCAUGUUGAGGUAUCCAGUGUUGGUAGGAGUCAUGGCAGAAAGAACGGCAACUAAGACUGUUGCUUCAGAGUCGCAAGAGUCUCAGUCAGGAGUUGUACCAAAUUAUCAUUGUGAGCUUGAAUGGAAUCCAGAACCUUCUGGUCCAUCUUCUCAUCCUUUCAAGUUCUUGGAGUGUGCUGUUCUAUCCAGUAGCAUUUGCAAGAAUACAACAACAACAACAACAAAGCCUUUUCCCACUAAGUGGGGUCGGCUAUAUGAAUCCUAGAACGCCAUUGCGCUCAGUUUUGUGUCAUGUCCUCCGUUAGAUCCAAGUACUCUAAGUCUUUUCUUAGGGUCUCUUCCAAAGUUUUCCUAGGUCUUCCUCUACCCCUUCGGCUCUGAACCUCUGUCCCGUAGUCACAUCUUCGAACCGGAGCGUCAGUAGGCCUUCUUUGCACAUGUCCAAACCACCGUAACCGAUUUUCUCUCCUCUUUCCUUCAAUUUCGGCUACUCUUACUUUACCUCGGAUAUCCUCAUUCCUAAUCUUAUCAUUUCUCGUGUGCCCACACAUCCAACGAAGCAUCCUCAUCUCCACUACACCUACAUGUUAAUGCUUCACCGCCUAACAUUAUGUGCCAUACAACAUCGCCAGAUGCACUCUUGGCCUACGACGGUCACACAACACGCCGGAUGCACUCUUCCACUUCAUCCAUCCAGCUUGUAUUCUAUGGGUGAGAUCUCCAUCAAAUUCUCCGUUCUUUUGCAAGAUAAAUCCUAGGUAGCGAAAACGGUCGCUCUUUGGUAUUUCCUAAUCUCCGAUCCUUACCCCUAACUCAUUUUGGAGACAGGAAGCAAACACAAGAUGUACGUGGUUCACCCAGAUUGGCUACGUCCACGGAGUAAAGGAGUUCUCAUUAAUUAUGAAGGGUUUACACAGUACAUAGGUUCAAGCUUUCCUUUAGUGAGUACAAGUGAAUGAUUUAGUACAAAUGACAUUAGGAAAUAUUAUGGGAUAAUGAUCUCGUAAUCACGAAACUUUUAAGUACCGAAGUGUGGUAUCGUCUUCACUUGCCUUAUCUGUCUCAUAGGUAGAUGUGGCAUCUUCUUUGGAAGUACUAUUCCUCCCUCCAGGGGUGGUAUCUUUAACUGGUGGAGAUGCACAAGGUAAUGUAUCAAUUUCACUUGACGCUUACUUGUAGUUUCAGGCUUGGUCAAGCACGAUACAAACCAUGUAGUAGGAGUCUCCUAAGUCGCCGAGCUAGGGGAUCUGCUCAAAGAGGUGAUAGACAAGCUAAGCAAUCAGAGCUCCAAGCAAUCAGUCCCAGAUUAGAAGUUUGAUUUCGAGUUCUGGCUGAUUGUUAUCCUUCUCCUUAUCUUGCAGGCAGCAUGAAGGAUAAAGAGAAGAAAAGGAGAAAAGGUGAUAUGAGAUACUUUUGCUUUUGAAGAAGUAACUUUCCACAGGCUUAUUCUUGAACUGGGCUGGAGGGUUUUCUGGUUUCCGCCAGAGUAUAAGGCCGACUGAAGAAUUUGAGGGUCAAAACAAGUCCAUCAAAUCUAGAGUACGUUCAACCCUGCUGAUAUGGGAUACUUUUGCUGUUAACCAAGUAGUGGAUGUAUCGGCACGUGUUCUGUUGCGCUUGUCUCCACAUGCUUCCUGGUAUCUUCUCGAGAAACAUAAGAUGUUGAAGAUGAGUACUCGAGAGCAAUGCCAGGUAAGUAAUCAGGUAAGGGGUUCCAGGCAGUCAGUUCCGGACUGGAAGCUUGAUUCCAAGUGCUGACUAAUUGCUCUCUUUCUCCUUGUCUUGCAGGUAAGAACAAGGCCAAAGGAAAAGACAGGGAAAAAGCAUGAUAUGGGAUACUCUUGCUUUUAACCCUGAUGAUAUGAGAUAUUCUUGCUCUAGUGUAGCUUGUUUGCAGAGGUAUUCUCGGGGGGAAAGAAAGUUGAGUAUUUCGAGAGGUUUCGUUGGGAGUGCCCUGUCAAAUAUGAGGAAGGGUUGAGCAUUUUUGCAGGUCUGCCUGUCCGUUGAGGAUGGAGGUCGACAUAUAUAGGAGUCUCCCUAACAAUAAGGAGUAAUGCUAUUCCUUUACCGUGCUUGGUCAUAGCACGGUAGUGGGAGCUGCCAGCUUCACGUGUUUUAACUCUAUCAGAGCACUUUGAAAAAGUGGUCUGUGGUAUCUGGAAAGCUGAUGUUACGUGUGAAGAUUACAGACAAGCUUUAUCCAAGAAGAUCUGGCUCUCGAAGUUGAGAAAAUGGUGUGAGGAGUACAGACAAGCUUUAUCUAAGGGGCUCUCGAAGUUGAGAAAGCGGUGCCUCUUCGGUUUUCGAACAAGCAAUCAUGUCGGGGAUCUGUCUCUCGAGAUUCGGAGAACGGUGCCUCUUCGAUGUUUGAGAAAGCAAUCCUGCUAGGAGUCUGGCUCUCGAGAUUAGGAAAGCGGUGUCUCGUCGCUUUUGAGAAAGUAAUCAUGUUGGGAGUCUGGCUCUCGAGAUUCGGAGGGCGGUGCCUCUUCGAUCUUGAAGCAAGCAAUCUUGUUGGGAGUGUGUUCUCGAAUGUGAGUAAAGGUUAGGCCUGUUUGCUAGUCUACCUUGCCACGGAGCACAGAGGUUGACACACAGGGACUUUCCAAUUAUCCAGCAGUGGUCAUGUUCCUUUACCCUUGUGGGUAAUAAUAUGGUAGCUAGACCUUCAAAAUUUAUGUGUCUAAACUUUGUUAGUACUGUUUCUUUGCUAUUCUUUUACCUUUCUUGGUCAUAGCGAUGUAAUGGGAGCUGCAAGCUUCACGUGUCUAAACUUUGUCAGAGAUUUUUGGCAAAGUUAUAUGUGGUACCCGUGAGCUGAUGUUGCGUGUGGAAAGUGGAUGAUUGAACAGUAACAUUCACGUGCUUUCUACUUCACCAGAAAUCUUCGACAGAAUGCCCGUAAUUUCCGCAAAGUUGAGUGUGCAUGUGACAGGUGCUGACAAGGCUGAAAAAGCAGGUGUCUCUUCGAUUUCUGAGAUCGGCCCUCGUGGUCUCUGAGCAGCCCAGCUUUUGAGAAAGCAAGUGCCUCUUCGAUUUCUGCGAUCGACCUUUGUGGUCUUUGAGCAGCCCAGCUUUUGAGAAAGCAAACGUCUCUUCGUUUCCUGAGAUCGGCCCUCGUGGUCUCUAAGCAGCCCAGCUUUUGAGAAAGCAAACGCCUUUUCGAUUUCUGAGCAGGCGCCUCUUCGAUUUCUGAAGCUCCAUCGAGUGCAGAUUUUUAUAGAGGCUGGUAUUAAGUUUCAAAUCACACUUGAAUCUUCACCAGUAGAAGCUCCCAUCUUGCAUUUCUAAGAUCUUGAUUUAUCCGACCUCUUCUCUCUUCAACACCUUUGAAAAUGUCUGGCCCCUCCGACCGUCGUUUUAACUUGAACCUUGUUGAAGAGGCAGCCACGCCUUCUCCAAACAACAUAUGGCGCCCAUUCUUCUUAUCCCUUACUGGUCCUCUUACCGUUGGGGAUUCCGUGAUGAAGAAUGAUAUGACUGCUGCGGUGGUGGCCAGGAACCUUCUCACUCCCAAAGAUAACAGACUACUUUCCAAACGGUCUGAUGAGUUGGCUGUUAAGGAUUCUCUGGCUCUCAGUGUUCAGUGUGCAGGUUCUGUGUCUAAUAUGGCCCAACGCCUAUUUGCUCGAACCCGCCAAGUUGAAUCAUUGGCGGCUGAAGUGAUGAGUCUCAAACAGGAAAUUAGAGGGCUCAAGCAUGAGAAUAAACAGUUGCACCGGCUCGCACAUGACUAUGCUACAAACAUGAAGAGGAAGCUUGACCAGAUGAAGGAAUCUGAUGGUCAGAUUUUACAUGAUCAUCAGAGGUUUGUGGGUUUGUUCCAAAGGCAUUUAUUGCCUUCGUCUUCUGGGGCUGUAUCGCGUAAUGAAGCUCCAAAUGAUCAACCUUCGAUGCUCCUCCUUCUAAGGUGCUGUCUAGUACUGAGGCUCUGAAUGAUCCCCCUCCGGUGCCUUCUCUUUCUGGGGCUCUACCGACUGCUGAGGCUUCUCCUAAGCAACCUUUGUGAAGGCUCCCUCUUGUUUGUUUAAUUUGACUCAUGUAUAUGUAUGUAUUUGUAACUUAUUGGAGAUAUCAAUAAAUAAGCUUUGUUUCAUUUCAACGUAUUGUGUUAAAUACACCAAAGCCUUCUUCGCUAAGUUCUUUGAAUUUUUCUUUUGUUGAAGCUUGUAUGUUGAAGCUUUGUGAGUAGAGCAUGUAGGUUGAGGUAGUGUUCCCUUAAUUUCCCGAGUGGGGAAAACUUCUCGAUUGGAGACUUGAAAAAAUCCAAGUCACUGAGUGGGGUCGGCUAUAUGAAUCUUAGAACGCCAUUGUGCUCGAUCCUGUGUCAUGUCCUCCGUUAGAUCCAAGUACUCUAAGUCUUUUCUUAGAGUCUCUUCCAAAGUUUUCCUAGGUCUUCCUCUACCCCUUCGGCCCUGA
rnacentral:lncRNA from 1 species